rnacentral:rRNA from 1 species
UACGUAGGGUGCAAGCGUUGUCCGGAAUUAUUGGGAGUAAAGAGCUCGUAGGCGGUCUGUCGCGUCUGCUGUGAAAACUCGGGGCUUAACCCCGGGCCUGCAGUGGGUACGGGCAGACUAGAGUGCGGUAGGGGAGACUGGAAUUCCUGGUGUAGCGGUGAAAUGCGCAGAUAUCAGGAGGAACACCGGUGGCGAAGGCGGUUCUCUGGGCCUGUACUGACGCUGAGGAACGAAAGCGUGGGGAGCGAACAGG